GUAUUUAUAUACAUGCGUAUGUAUCCAUAUGCGCCUGCAGGUGUGUUUAUUUAUAUACAUGUGUACGUAUGUAAGUACGUCUAUAUAUCCGUGUGCGCCUGCAGGUGUGUUUAUUUAUAUACAUGUGUACGUAUGUAAGUACGUGUAUAUAUCCGUGUGCGCCUGCAGGUGUGUGUAUUUAUAUACAUGUGUACGUGUGCUUGUAUAUAUGUAUGGGGGAGUGUCUGCAUAUAAAUACGGUAUACAUCAGUGAGCAUAUCUUAAAUACGUUGGUGCAUUUGCAUCUGUACGUGAUUAUAUCAGAGGCAAUAAAAGGGAACACAACACAUUUGUGGAAAUACAUAAAUAUAUAAUCAUUAAAAAAACAAUUGAUCAAC